rnacentral:rRNA from 1 species
GACGUAGGGGGCGAGCGUUAUUCGGAAUUAUUGGGCGUAAAGCGCUCGUAGGCGGGAUCGAUAGUCCGUGAAGAAAGACCUGGGCUCAACUCGGGGAACGGCACGGAUACUUCGAUUCUUGAGGCAAUCAGAGGGUGAUGGAAUUCCCGGUGUAGCGGUGAAAUGCGUAGAUAUCGGGGAGGAACACCAGUGGCGAAGGCGAUCACCUGGGGUUGUUCUGACGCUGAGGAGCGAAAGCUAGGGGAGCAAACGGGG